rnacentral:rRNA from 1 species
GUGGAUUAGAUACCCGGGUAGUCCACGCCGUAAACGAUGUCAACUAGCCGUUGGCUCUCUUAGAGAGUUAGUGGCGCAGCUAACGCAUUAAGUUGACCGCCUGGGGAGUACGGCCGCAAGGUUAAAACUCAAAUGAAUUGACGGGGGCCCGCACAAGCGGUGGAGCAUGUGGUUUAAUUCGAUGCAACGCGAAGAACCUUACCUACCCUUGACAUCCAGAGAAUCUGUUAGAGAUAGUAGAGUGCCUUCGGGAACUCUGAGACAGGUGCUGCACGGUUGUCGUCAACG